rnacentral:rRNA from 1 species
GAUGAACGCUGGCGGCGUGCCUAAUACAUGCAAGUCGAGCGAAUGAUGAGGAGCUUGCUCCUCUGAUUUAGCGGCGGACGGGUGAGUAACACGUGGGUAAUCUGCCUGUAAGACGGGGAUAACUCCGGGAAACCGGGGCUAAUACCGGAUAACAAAAGAAGAUGCAUAUCUUCUUUUUGAAAGUCGGUUUCGGCUGACACUUACAGAUGAGCCCGCGGCGCAUUAGCUAGUUGGUGAGGUAACGGCUCACCAAGGCGACGAUGCGUAGCCGACCUGAGAGGGUGAUCGGCCACACUGGGACUGAGACACGGCCCAGACUCCUACGGGAGGCAGCAGUAGGGAAUCUUCGGCAAUGGGCGAAAGCCUGACCGAGCAACGCCGCGUGAGCGAUGAAGGCCUUCGGGUCGUAAAGCUCUGUUGUUAGAGAAGAACAAGUACGAGAGUAACUGCUCGUACCUUGACGGUACCUAACAGAAAGCCACGGCUAACUACGUGCCAGCAGCCGCAGUAAGAC